ensembl:lncRNA
UUUUUUUUUUUUUUUUGUCUUUUUAGGGCUGCACCUUGCUUGGCAUAUGGAGAGGUUCCCAGACUAGGGGUCGAAUCGGAGCACAGUUUUCACAGACCAGGGUAAUGCUGGUUGGUGGGUUCUCUCCUGCGUAAGUUUUCUACAGCUGGAAUUGGUACAAGGUGGAGACUGGUGAUCUGGGUUUGUCUUUGUUGCUGAUUUGUCUGAGGUCACCAAGCGAGUAGCUUAGCCUUAGUAUCAUUAUCAUCAUAUGAGGAUAAUGCCCUAAAAAUUACAGAGACCAGACAGAGAAUAUAAAUAAAAUACAAAGUUCAGAUAUGACCCAAGUGUAUGCAAAAAUUUAGUAUAUAAUAAGGGAAGCAUUCAAAUCAAUGGUAAAAGAACAGCUUACUCAGCAAACAGUGUUGAGAUAACUGGGUACCUAGUCACUGGGGAAAGCAUGUUAGAUUCUUGCCUGACACUUGCUAAAAUAAAGAUGCAUUGAAGAUUUAGAGCUUUUUGUUUGUUCGUUUGUUUGUUUGUUUUUUGGCCGUACUCAUGGCAUGCGGAAGUUCCCAGGCCAGGGAUCAAACCUGUGCCACAGCAGUGACCCAAGCCAUGGCGUGACAAUGCUAGGCCACCAGAGAACACCAGUUUAAAGUAUUUAAAAGUGAAACUACAAACAUUCCAGAAGAAAAUGGAGAUGAAUACUUCUUAUGGUUCGGGGGUACUGUCAUAAGGAAAAAAUAUCCAAUAUUGGAUGGUGCAAAAUAAAAAAAGGUCAUAAUAAAAGUUAAAAGUCAAGGGAGGGUGCUGAGCCAGGGAGGAGGGAGGUGUGUGUGUGUGUGUGUGUGUGUGUGUGUGUGUGUGUAUGUUUUUCUGUUUCACGUCCUGAGCAUUUUCUGGGCCCAGAGAGGACCUUCUGGUCUGCAGAGAAAAUACCCCCCUUCCAGGAGACGGGCUGCCUAGAUGACAAGCUGGAGGAGCAGGUCAAGGGUGGACUGGAAGAAGGGGUGCCUGGCCCUGAAGGUCUCAGUUAAACUCUGGACUGACUCACCCGGGAGGUGGCACGAUUUCCUCUGAAGGUUUAAAAUAAAGGGCAGAGAUUCGAUUGCAUCUGGAACGGUGGGUGUGGCCCUGCCUGGCGUCAGGGAUGGCCUCAGCCAUCUCCCUAGCCCUCUUUGUUCUGAGACAAGACACCCCACCCCUUACCCCCAGAGAAAAUUCAAGGACUAGCAAGGUUUGGUCCCAGCACAUUAGAAGUACUGUGGAAAAUAAAGAUCUUUAAAGCUGGAUCCUUUGGUUUCUUGGGCAGUAAGCAGGAAAACACUCUGCUUCUGUUAGACACUCAAGCUCCAGUGCCGGAGAGCAGAGCAAAGAGGAUCUUCUUUAUUUAAAAGUGGACUGCAUGGCUGUUGACUCUGCCAGCGCCUGACAUUAAUAUGCCCGAAGGCAAUUUGCUGUCUGGAAGUGGUUUGCCACAUUCUCCUGGGCCCCAUCGAGAAAUGGUGACUCUCUCAAAGAAGAGUGAUCCUAUGGCUAGUGUCAAGAUUAAUAGUGUCCUGGAGUUCCUGUCAUGGCUCAGUGGUUAACGAAUCCGACUAGGGGCCCAUGAGGUUGCAGGUUCGAUCCCUGGCCUUGCUCAGUGGGUCAAGGAUCCGGCGUUGCCAUGAACUGUGGUGUAGGUCGCAGACGUGACUUGGAUCCGGCGUUGCUCUGGCUCUGGUGUAGGCUGGUGGCUACAGCUCCAAUUAGACCCCUAGCCUGGGAACCUCCACAUGCCAUGGGUACGGCCCUAGGAAAGACAGAAAGACAAAAAAAAAAAAAAAUUAGUAGUGUCCCUUUUCAUUCCUUUUUUUUUUUUUUUUUCCCUUGGCUGCGCUCAUGGCAAGCAGAAGUCCUGGGGCCAGGGAACGAACCUGUGCCAUGGCAGUGACCAGAGCCAUAGCAGUGACAACGCAAGAUCCUUAACCUGCUGCGUCACCAGGGAACUCCCCAUUUCUUUCCUAAAAGGGUUCCUGUUUGGACAAUAAGUUACAAAGUUGCUCUACUGUUGAAAAGCAGAAAACACUCAGUAGAAAAUUUUGUUUGGGGAGGUGGUGUUGAAACCAAGGCAUUUGAAAAACAGGAUUUUUGUUUUUUUGGUUGUUGUUGUUGUUGUUUUUUGGCUGUGCCCAGAGCAUGCAGAAGUUCCAGGGCCAGGGAUCAAACCUUCGCCACAGAAGCAACCUGAGCCAACCAUGACAACACUGGAUCCUUAACCCUCUGAGCUACCAGGGAGCUCCCCCAAACAUUGUUUUACAUUUAAAUAUAUAUGUAUAAAUUUCUUGCUGGAAAGACCGGAAGGAAGUUUUGUUAUUGAGAAACUUCAAUAAAAGUAAAAGCAGCAACAAGCAGAAAGAAGUAAAAGAACCUGGAGCUUCCUAGCCAGAGGCCCUAACCAUGCAGGAGCUGUGGGGGCUGAAAGAGGGCUUAGAAUGGCUUUCUGUCCACGUGGGCAGGCCCCUCAGUGUCAGCAAUGAAGAGUGUUGGCUGACACUGCUGACAUCUACCUAGCAAUGUAGAUGCCCAGGCCAGAGGGCCCUGAGGUCAGAGGGAGCAGGCUUUUGCCAGACUCCCAGUCCUUUGCUGAGGCCACUUGGUCCAUCCUUGACCAUGGGUGAUUGCAAGAGGGGGGAUCAAGGGUUGAAAAAAAUCUGAGCUCCAGUCACUUUUGUUAAAGAUAAACUGAGGGAGGAGUUCCCGCUGUGGUGCGGUUGGUUAAGAACCUGACUGCAGCCGCUUGGGUAGCUGUGGAGGCCCAGGUUCAAUCUUUGGCCCAGCACAGUGGGUUAAAGAAUCCAGCAUUGCUGCGGCUGUGGUGUAGGUCGAGUCUGCUGCUCCGUUUCAAUCCCUGGCCCGGGAAAAUCCAUAUACUGCAGGUGUGGCUAUUAAAAAAAAAAAAAAAAAAAAAAAAAAAAAAAAG